UGGGUCCAGAUGGAGAACUCCCAGCUACCUCUCCAGAACCAUAUCUACAGGCAUGCUGCCAUGUUUCCCACCAUUAUGAUAAUGGACUAAACCUCUGAACUGUAAGCCAGCCCCAAGAAAGAAGGCUUGCUCCAAAAUAAAUUGCAAUGAUUUGGAAGCUAAGCUUUAACAUGAAGCUCAAUACAAGUGUCUGCAGAAGCAUGGUAAGUAGAGAUUUCUGGAGAGCUGGAUAUGGAACUGUGCAGAUUGGAUACAGGACUACCAUCUGAAAUAUUGCCAUAGCUACAGAAAGAGAUCCAGGUUAUCUUCUGCUUUGUCAGGGAAGAAGACAGCCAUAUGCAUUAAGUGAGAUACUACCUGUUGCCUGCGAGUCAAGAUGUAGGACUCUUAGCUCCUGCUUAGUUCCAGUUCCAUGUCUGCCUGCAUGCCACCAUGUCACACCAUAAUGAGAAGGGACUAAAUCUCUGAAAAUCUAAAAGCUUGUGACCGACUAC
rnacentral:lncRNA from 1 species